UGCUUUAGGCUCUUCAGUCCUGGGAUUACAGAAGACUACUCUGACUUCCCAGCUUUUCUGUAGGUUCUGCAGAUCAGAACUCUGGUUCUCGCUUGCAGGGAGUGGGUCAGUAUUUUUACCAGAGGAUGGAUUUAGGCAUGAAGAAAUCUUUGGACUUGAAGAAGGUCAUAGCUGACGUCAUCACUGCAGCCAAGAAUAGCCAGCUGUCAAAAGAAGCUCCAAGCCAUACAACCCAGAGCCAGGUUUUUCAAUAGGAACAACACAGAGAGUGGAGAAGAUCAUGAAGGUUUG
rnacentral:lncRNA from 1 species